AAGGUUAGCUGAACUGUACUUAAAAAAAAAAAAUCAUUGUGACUUUCCCUUGAGUCACAGCAAAAGUUCUCACUGUGCCUUUUAAACUUGUGUUUAGACUGGACCUCUCCUUCAGACAUGCUGUGCACCGAAGAGGUACACGGCAGGGCACUGGUCCCUGACAAGGCCUGGAGUGUUCUACAUCGGCCGGGAGGAUGGGUACGUGGACAUCUGGGACCUCCUGGAGAAAACCCAUGAGCCAGCACAGUCCCAGAACAUCUGCAUCACCAUGAUCACCUACAUCAAACCCUGGACCUUCUCCUGUACGUGCCUUCUUCCGGCCGCUAGGAGGCUCUGGUGUUCACCAGAAAAGCCCCUGCCCCGUCGUCUCACACCCCACCGGUCCUGCGGGCCCUUCUGCCCCCGUCUCUCCUCUUUCCCUCCCGCUCCCUUCCCGCGUCCCUCCAACAGCAUUCCCAUCUUGCUCCCAAACUCUGGGAGCCCCAAAGCUUCCCUGCUGUUUGGACUCAGCAGCAGCAAUUUCUGGACUUCUGCUAAGCAGCAGUUUAUAGCCAUAGCUGACUAUUAUGGGACUCUGCAUAUCUUAGAAAUUCCCUGGACGUUAAGUCGCCCUUCCUUUAAUGAGGUUAGUAAAGUCUCGACUUUGCAAGUUUAAUGUUACUGAGGCAUUUCUUUGUUAAAAAUUAUACUUAUCUAUUUGUGUUGGGGUGGGUGUGUGCCAUGGCACACUUGUGGAAGUCAGGGGAAACCUUGCAGGAAGGAGUUGGUUCUCUCCUUCUAUCAUGUGGGUACCAGGGAUAGAACUCGGGUCAGCAAACUUGGCAGCAGUCACUUUACCUGGCAAACCAUCUCGACAACCUUUGGGUGCAUACAUUAAGAGUGUUUGAAAUGUCGGUGCUUUUGUUUUACAAGAGAAUGAGAAACUUGUGCAUUUUAAAUAACAAAAGAAUGUUUUAUCGUAUGAAUUAGAUAGUUUGAAGCUAAGGAAAAUAAUCACACAUGCGGGGGCGGGGAAUGAAUGACGUGAAGGCUGGGAGAGUCAUUAUUUUCAAACUAUAACUGAGUUUGAGCUCUGUCACUCCAGUGCGGUCCUUCCC
rnacentral:lncRNA from 1 species